rnacentral:tRNA from 1 species
AAGGAUUUAAGUUAAUUAAACUCAUAGCCUUCAAAGCUAUAAAUAAAGCCUCUUUAAGCCUUA